UACAGAGGGUGCGAGCGUUAAUCGGAAUUACUGGGCGUAAAGCGUGCGUAGACGGUCAUGUAAGUCGGAUGUGAAAGCCCCGGGCUCAACCUGGGAAUUGCAUUCGAGACUGCAUGGCUUGGGUGCGGAAGAGGGAAGCGGAAUUUCCGGUGUAGCGGUGAAAUGCGUAGAGAUCGUAAGGAAGACCAGUGGCGAAGGCGAGUUUCUGGACGGUAACUGACGCUGAGGCACGAAGGCCAGGGGAGCAAACGGG
rnacentral:rRNA from 1 species